UACGUAGGGUGCGAGCGUUAAUCGGAAUUACUGGGCGUAAAGCGCGCGCAGGCGGUUCGUUGUGUCGGUGGUGAAAGCCCCGGGCUCAACCUGGGAAUUGCAUUCGAGACUGAAUAGCUAGGGUACGGUAGAGGGAAGCGGAAUUUCCGGUGUAGCGGUGAAAUGCGUAGAUAUCGGAAGGAACAUCAGUGGCGAAAGCGGCUUCCUGGACCAGUACCGACGUUCAGGCACGAAAGCGUGGGGAGCAAACAGG
rnacentral:rRNA from 1 species